AUGCAGUCGAGCGGAGAGAUGGGAGCUUGCUCCCAGUUCUUAGCGGCGGACGGGUGAGUAACACGUGGGCAACCUGCCCUGCAGACUGGGAUAACUCCGGGAAACCGGAGCUAAUACCGGGUAAUACAUCGCACCGCAUGGUGCAAUGUUGAAAGUUGGCUUUCGAGCUAACACUGCGGGAUGGGCCCGCGGCGCAUUAGCUAGUUGGUAAGGUAAUGGCUUACCAAGGCGACGAUGCGUAGCCGACCUGAGAGGGUGAUCGGCCACACUGGGACUGAGACACGGCCCAGACUCCUACGGGAGGCAGCAGUAGGGAAUCUUCCGCAAUGGACGAAAGUCUGACGGAGCAACGCCGCGUGAGUGACGAAGGCCUUCGGGUCGUAAAGCUCUGUUGUUAGGGAAGAACAAGUACCGUUCGAAUAGGGCGGUACCUUGACGGUACCUAACCAGAAAGCCACGGCUAACUACGUGCCAGCAGCCGCGGUAAUACGUAGGUGGCAAGCGUUGUCCGGAAUUAUUGGGCGUAAAGCGCGCGCAGGCGGUCUUUUAAGUCUGAUGUGAAAGCCCACGGCUCAACCGUGGAGGGUCAUUGGAAACUGGAGGACUUGAGUGCAGAAGAGGAGAGUGGAAUUCCACGUGUAGCGGUGAAAUGC
rnacentral:rRNA from 2 species